rnacentral:rRNA from 1 species
GAUGAACGCUGGCGGCGUGCCUAAUACAUGCAAGUCGAGCGAAUGGAUUAAGAGCUUGCUCUUAUGAGGUUAGCGGCGGACGGGUGAGUAACACGUGGGUAACCUGCCCAUAAGACUGGGAUAACUCCGGGAAACCGGGGCUAAUACCGGAUAACAUUUUGAACCGCAUGGUUCGAAAUUGAAAGGCGGCUUCGGCUGUCACUUAUGGAUGGACCCGCGUCGCAUUAGCUAGUUGGUGAGGUAACGGCUCACCAAGGCAACGAUGCGUAGCCGACCUGAGAGGGUGAUCGGCCACACUGGGACUGAGACACGGCCCAGACUCCUACGGGAGGCAGCAGUAGGGAAUCUUCCGCAAUGGACGAAAGUCUGACGGAGCAACGCCGCGUGAGUGACGAAGGCUUUCGGGUCGUAAAACUCUGUUGUUAGGGAAGAACAAGUGCUAGUUGAAUAAGCUGGCACCUUGACGGUACCUAACCAGAAAGCCACGGCUAACUACGUGCCAGCAGCCGCCGUAA